GGGCGAGUGGUGAAAUUGGCAGACACGCAAGACUUAGGAUCUUGUGCCGAAAGGCUUGGGGGUUCGAGUCCCCCCUCGCCCA
rnacentral:tRNA from 1 species